rnacentral:lncRNA from 1 species
CUGUCAGAAACCAACAUAAAUCCUGCACUCAAACUGACUUAAGACAGUUUGAGUUUGCUUCCCUCAUUAGUUAUUAAGCGGUCCUAACUAACAAAGUGACCAUUUCUGGAGUAAUUUCAGUAUAAGAAACAUGGAAUUUCUGAGCUGCCUUUCUUCUCAUGAGAAAAAUCAAGCAUGUGGGAAGCAUUGGAUCCCUGAUGGGAGCAUGAAAGACACCAAACCUAGGCAUAUCACAGGU